rnacentral:lncRNA from 1 species
UAUGAUGUCACUUUCUGUCUAUAGAAAAUUGAAGUUUUCAAACAGCAAAUGUUUCUUGCGCAGGCAUUAAUUAAACUUCACUCUCCUAAGAAGUGCUGAUGAACCAUAGUGAUGCUAACAAUUCAUUUCUUCAGAAACACAUGGAGAUCAGCUGCAGUAAGACUCUAGAAAGCUGCAAAGAACAGGAAGAUAUUCAUAGCUGCUCCUGUGCCAGGAUCUAGCCAUUGUGGAAUCAGGAGAAAAGAGAUUAUUGAGAAAGUUGUGAUCCUUGUCACCUUCUCAUAUACAUCACGUACACUGCUGCAGAGUCACCACUUUGUCUUCUCGACAGCAAGCAUUUGAGAGCCUGUACUCACAAAGAUAUAUUAUGUUGGUUUUCAAGUUAUUUAUUUAUUUUUUAAUAAACGUGUUUAUGCACAAGAAGUUCAGAGGCAUUAGAGUUUGUCUGAAAAUGUCAGUCCUUCUUCCACCUUCCCUUCCGUUCCUUCUUUCCUUCUUUUCUGGAGGUUUUUAUAUUACAGAAAUGAACACUCUGUCACAACAAAGGUGAGGAUAUAUCCAGAGCAGAUAUUAGCUGUGAGCUCUGGCAGCCACUGUCAGACGUUUAUUCUUCACUAACCUUCUCUGCAGGACCUAAUCGCAGGGUUCAGUUUCCUCCUGAAGUACGUCGUAUUUGUACAUUCCUAAGCUCAGACCCACGCAGGCAUGGACCUAC